rnacentral:SRP_RNA from 1 species
CUUCGGGUCCCGUGCAAUGGAAUCCCAUGAAUCCUGUCAGGUCCGAGAGGAAGCAGCAGUAAGUGGUCCUUUCCAUGUGCCACGGUGUAUCCUGAAGGCU